rnacentral:rRNA from 1 species
UACGAGGGGGGCAAGCGUUGUUCGGAAUUAUUGGGCGUAAAGCGCGUGUAGGCGGCAUGGCAAGUCGGGUGUGAAAGCCCUCAGCUCAACUGAGGAAGUGCGCCCGAAACUGCUUUGCUUGAGUGCUGGAGAGGGUCGCGGAAUUCCCCAAGUAGAGGUGAAAUUCGUAGAUAUGGGGAGGAACACCGGUGGCGAAGGCGGCGACCUGGACAGUAACUGACGCUGAGACGCGAAAGCGUGGGUAGCAAACAGG